GGCACAUCACAAUGAAGCUAAAUAUACUGCCAUUUUUUUUUUUAAUUAAAGGUUAUAGAAAUUGUAUAUAAUUUUCUCUGCAAGGAGAAAUUGGGUGGAAUUGCUACAGGCUUUGAAGAGAAGUGGUGUCUGAAGUAAGAUUUAAUGUACAUUCUGCGUCUUUCAGUUUUAUUUCACAGGAAUGUAAGAACCACUACAUGGCCUGAUGUCCUGAAAAAGAAGAUUAUUCUUUUACUUGUGAUGGCAUUAUAGAAAGUGGAUUGAUGUUUAAAAAAUUAAACAAAACAUGGGAAGGAAAUAAGAGAUCUGACUAAGUAACUUGAUGGAUGCAAUGAAAACACAACAUCUACAAGUGAUUAAAUGAAAUCUUAUUUCAUGCACUACUCAAGAAUCUCUGUGGAAGAUUGCUGCAGAGCCAGCAGAGGUGUAGAACAGAUUUUGGGGUCUGUGCUGUCUUUUGGGCAAGGCUAAUC
rnacentral:lncRNA from 1 species